GGCGGCGUGCUUAACACAUGCAAGUCGAACGGAAAGGCCCUUCGGGGUACUCGAGUGGCGAACGGGUGAGUAACACGUGGGUGAUCUGCCCUGCACUUUGGGAUAAGCCUGGGAAACUGGGUCUAAUACCGAAUAGGACCACGCGCUUCAUGGUGUGUGGUGGAAAGCUUUUGCGGUGUGGGAUGGGCCCGCGGCCUAUCAGCUUGUUGGUGGGGUAAUGGCCUACCAAGGCGACGACGGGUAGCCGGCCUGAGAGGGUGACCGGCCACACUGGGACUGAGAUACGGCCCAGACUCCUACGGGAGGCAGCAGUGGGGAAUAUUGCACAAUGGGCGCAAGCCUGAUGCAGCGACGCCGCGUGAGGGAUGACGGCCUUCGGGUUGUAAACCUCUUUCAAUAGGGACGAAGCGCAAGUGACGGUACCUAUAGAAGAAGCACCGGCCAACUACGUGCCAGCAGCCGCGGUAAUACGUAGGGUGCGAGCGUUGUCCGGAAUUACUGGGCGUAAAGAGCUCGUAGGUGGUUUGUCGCGUUGUUCGUGAAAACUCACAGCUUAACUGUGGGCGUGCGGGCGAUACGGGCAGACUAGAGUACUGCAGGGGAGACUGGAAUUCCUGGUGUAGCGGUGGAAUGCGCAGAUAUCAGGAGGAACACCGGUGGCGAAGGCGGGUCUCUGGGCAGUAACUGACGCUGAGGAGCGAAAGCGUGGGGAGCGAACAGGAUUAGAUACCCUGGUAGUCCACGCCGUAAACGGUGGGUACUAGGUGUGGGUUCCUUCCUUGGGAUCCGUGCCGUAGCUAACGCAUUAAGUACCCCGCCUGGGGAGUACGGCCGCAAGGCUAAAACUCAAAGGAAUUGACGGGGGCCCGCACAAGCGGCGGAGCAUGUGGAUUAAUUCGAUGCAACGCGAAGAACCUUACCUGGGUUUGACAUGCACAGGACGCCGGCAGAGAUGUCGGUUCCCUUGUGGCCUGUGUGCAGGUGGUGCAUGGCUGUCGUCAGCUCGUGUCGUGAGAUGUUGGGUUAAGUCCCGCAACGAGCGCAACCCUUGUCCUAUGUUGCCAGCGGGUUAUGCCGGGGACUCGUAGGAGACUGCCGGGGUCAACUCGGAGGAAGGUGGGGAUGACGUCAAGUCAUCAUGCCCCUUAUGUCCAGGGCUUCACACAUGCUACAAUGGCCGGUACAAAGGGCUGCGAUGCCGUGAGGUGGAGCGAAUCCUUUCAAAGCCGGUCUCAGUUCGGAUCGGGGUCUGCAACUCGACCCCGUGAAGUCGGAGUCGCUAGUAAUCGCAGAUCAGCAACGCUGCGGUGAAUACGUUCCCGGGCCUUGUACACACCGCCCGUCACGUCAUGAAAGUCGGUAACACCCGAAGCC
rnacentral:rRNA from 1 species